AUGGCUUCACAAGAUCUUUGGAUUUGGCAUGCUUAUUUUGGUUUACCAGGGUCUCUGAAUGAUAUAAAUGUUCUUCAACGUUCUCCUGUUUUUACAAAGCUAGCCGAAGGCCAAACUCCUCCAGUGAAUUAUAGCAUCAAUGGCCAUCAGUACACAAUGGGGUAUUACCUUGCAGAUGGUAUCUAUCCACGGUGGGCAACAUUUGUGAAGAGCAUACCAGCUCCAACUAGCAGAAAGCAUAAAACUUUUGCCAAGAAGCAAGAGGGGGCUAGGAAAGAUGUGGAACGAGCCUUUGGAGUUCUGCAAUCCUGUUUUGCCAAUGUUCGUGGACCGGCUAAAGGAUGGAAACGUAAAGAAAUCACUGAUGUCAUGAAAGCUUGUGUCAUAAUGCACAAUAUGAUAGUUGAAGAGGAGCGGCAAACUGGUCGGCAAAGCUGCACUUUUGAGGCAAUGGGAGAAAGAGUCACAGUCUCUCGUACUCAUGCGGAAGAACUGAGCUCUUUUAUUCAGAUGACUAAUCGGAUUAGAAAUUUCAUGAACAUGAUCAACUUAAACUUGAUC
rnacentral:rRNA from 1 species